rnacentral:rRNA from 1 species
GACGAACGCUGGCGGCGUGCCUAUACAUGUAAGUCGAGCGCAGGAAGUCGACGGAACCCUUCGGGGGGAAGUCGACGGAAUGAGCGGCGGACGGGUGAGUAACACGUAAAGAACCUGCCCUCAGGUCUGGGAUAACCACGAGAAAUCGGGGCUAAUACCGGAUGGGUCAUCGGACCGCAUGGUCCGAGGAUGAAAGGCGCUCCGGCGUCGCCUGGGGAUGGCUUUGCGGUGCAUUAGCUAGUUGGUGGGGUAAUGGCCCACCAAGGCGACGCUGCAUAGCCGACCUGAGAGGGUGAUCAGCCACACUGGGACUGAGACACGGCCCAGACUCCUACGGGAGGCAGCAGUAGGGAAUCUUCCACAAUGGACGAAAGUCUGAUGGAGCAACGCCGCGUGAACGAUGAAGGCCUUCGGGUCGUAAAGUUCUGUUGCAAGGGAAGAACAAGUGCCGCAGGCAAUGGCGGCACCUUGACGGUACCUUGCGAGAAAGCCACGGCUAACUACGUGCCAGCCGCCGCAGUAAAAC